AGCUCAGUCGGUAGAGCAAUGGACUGAAAAUCCAUGUGUCGCCGGUUCGAUCCCACCA
rnacentral:tRNA from 1 species